GCUCACGCUCUAGAGGAGAAAUCUUCAACAGGGGGUCUGGGACCCCAAGGGGGUCAUCAGAGUUGCUGUAGGGGGGCUGCCAAAUUAUUGUUUAAUGGUUUAAUAAAAAAAAAAAUAU